CAAAUAAUAAAUAAAAAUAAUAAUACUAAUGUAAAAAUAUAAUUGUAUUUUAAAUGAUGAAUCGCAAGAUUCUGCCCAUAUGCGUAUAUUAUGGAACUCCCUUAAUCCACUACGACCGCGAGAAAAUAAAGAAGAGCAGGAGGAAGAGAAAGAAGAAGUUAUAGAGGAGAAAAAAGAGGAAGAAAAGGAGGGGGAAAUGGAUAACGGCAGCGAUAUUUCAGUGAAAUCCGGCAACAUCUCGGAGAUAGAAGAGAUACAAGAAGCUUUGGAGGGGAAAGAAGAAAACAUGAAUGAAAGAAAGGAAGAGCGGGAGGAGGAGAAGGAAGAGGAAACUAAGAAGAUACUAUGCUUAUAAUGUUGAAGAUAUUUCAUAUACGCCGUUGAAUGAUACAAAUCAAUGGAGACAAUAUUCUGGAGAUUUUUACGAACAAAGCAACUAAAGAUGAUACAAACCAGCGGUGGCACCGGCGGACAUGACGUCCGCCUAAUAUAAUAUCUAAUAAACGAAAGAGAGGAGAAUUUUGCUGACAUCGAGGAACAUCAUCAUCAUCAUCAUCCUCAAUAUCAGCAGCAACAGCGUUAUCAUCAGCAGCAACAGCAUCGA